UGGGGAAUAUUGGACAAUGGGCGAAAGCCUGAUCCAGCCAUGCCGCGUGAGUGAUGAAGGCCUUAGGGUUGUAAAGCUCUGUCGGAGGGGACACGUUUCGGGUAAAUAGCCCGAGAUCUUGAUGGUACCCUCAAAGGAAGCACCGGCUAACUUC
rnacentral:rRNA from 1 species